AUGUUGAUGGGUAAGCCAGAGGAAAGCCACCAAAAAAAGGGAAGAGGCAGAUUUCAGGCUUGCGCGUGAAUCUAAUAAAACCAAGGAUGAAAAGGUGGAUUUGUUUCAUGUUAGAUUCACGCACAAACUCGUAAUCUGUCUUUUCAUUUCACUUCGUUAUCUUUCUUUCUUGAUCCUCUUUUCAAGUUGUUAUCUGCCAAUCUCUUUAUUUCUUUUUCCCCAAUUGAAUUCCCGGAUUUAGAUCUCUAAUUAUAGAGAAUAAAAAGGAGAAAAAGAUUGUUACCGUUGAUUUUUCAAUCCCCUGCCUGCCGAAUUGAAGAAGCAGCAACUCUCUAAACUUUCAAGGUAAUAUUGUCAAAUUUGACUAUUUUUAUUUGAUACAUAUUGGUUGUUUUGAGGAAUCGUUCCAAGAUUUGAUUUUUAAUGUUAGUUCGGAAAGCAACUUUAACCAAACUAUUUUUAAUAGGAAAAAGGUUAAAAAAAAUGGCGAUUGAGGAUUGGAUUAUUGAUUAGACUUUCCUAGCUCUUGUAUCCAGCAAAACACCAUAUUCUUUCAAUGCAAAUGAGUUUGCUUCCUCCAGGAUUUGCUACAUGCUUUAUUUUGUUGAACAAGGCAGAAAGUUGAACAUAUCCUGUGAUGAAAUUGGAGGUCAUUCAUGCUUGAUGAAUGUUAUGAAUUACGUGUUGCCUCACAAGUGGCUUCGCUAAUCUAGGGUUUUAGGUGCUCUCAGACAUCAGGAGCUCAACUUUUUAGGUUAUUUCUCUUCUCUCAUAAAGUUCGGUUUAGUUAUUGGUAUUAACCUUGGUUUCAUUAUGACUGUCAAACCAAUCACUGAAGACCGUUAGACUGGUAUUCAACCGGUAGCAUACAACAACUUCCUGCUAUGUAGCUCCUGUGUCUUGGGAUCAUUUGACGUUUAUCCUAAACCAUCAACCAAGUCACCUGCCCCGAGCCUCGGCCUCCGAGGUCACAUACCUUUAUAAAAGUCCUUCAAAAAGAUCGUCACUUUAGAACUUGUCUCACUCCAAAAGGUCCAUAACCUCCACCAGAUCUUCAGGAGCUCUCCUCGAGAAUGAAUGGAAACGACUCCAACAACUACCAACCUGAGGUAACUCACUUUGCUAAAUUUCUUCUCUUGCCUAUCAGCAGUAAGACUGGCGUACAAAUCAUCCAACCCAAAAAGAGUUCUCAAUGCAACACAGAAAGUUCGAUGGAACUAUGGACUAAUAAUGCGUAAAUUUAAUUAAGGACAGAAAUCUAGUUCUGCCCUUCUGUUUUGUUCCUGUUCGCAGAUGAUCAUAUGACAUGUCCACCGAUUCUGAAGCUGGCCGCUAUUUUAUCGCUUAGACCAUUUAUGACUUGAGAAUGCAUUAAGCAGGUUGAGCCUAUACAAUCCGAACUUCCAGUUCUUCAGCGCAUGUGAACACGAGCCAAGUUGUCUUUAGAUUUUUCAUCUCUAUCAGAAACUGCUUCCAUAUUCUUUUAUGCACCAGCACUACUAGUUUCAGUGUUACCUGACGUUUGAGGGGAAGCACGUGAAAAAAUUUAGAAAAGAAAAAGUGGAUCAAGGAGGCCCGACUUUCUCUAUAAAAGAUUUGUAUGGUCAGGCAAAGUAGAAUCAUAUCGUAAAGGUUUAGACAAGACAUAAUCUGUCUAUCAUGAUAUUAUUCAUAUCAGUUACUGUUUCAAAAUCUGGAACAGUUCCAAUGUCCUA